UACGAAGGGGGCUAGCGUUGUUCGGAAUUACUGGGCGUAAAGCGCACGUAGGCGGAUUGUUAAGUCGGGGGUGAAAUCCUGAGGCUCAACCUCAGAACUGCCUUCGAUACUGGCAAUCUCGAGUCCGGAAGAGGUUGGUGGAACAGCUAGUGUAGAGGUGAAAUUCGUAGAUAUUCGCAAGAACACCAGUGGCGAAGGCGGCUCACUGGCCCGGUACUGACGCUGAGGUGCGAAAGCGUGGGGAGCAAACAGG
rnacentral:rRNA from 1 species